rnacentral:rRNA from 1 species
UACGGAGGGGGCUAGCGUUGUUCGGAAUUACUGGGCGUAAAGCGCACGUAGGCGGCUUUGUAAGUUAGAGGUGAAAGCCCAGGGCUUAACCCUGGAAUUGCCUUUAAGACUGCAUCGCUAGAAUCGUGGAGAGGUAAGUGGAAUUCCGAGUGUAGAGGUAAAAUUCGUAGAUAUUCGGAAGAACACCAGUGGCGAAGGCGACUUACUGGACACGUAUUGACGCUGAGGUGCGAAAGCGUGGGGAGCAAACAGG